rnacentral:rRNA from 1 species
CAGUCGCCACGGUAAUACGAAGGGGGCUAGCGUUGCUCGGAAUUACUGGGCGUAAAGGGCGCGUAGGCGGCGAUCAAAGUCAGGCGUGGAAUUCCUGGGCUCAACCGGGGAGGGUCAUUGGAAACUGGGAAACUUGAGUGCAGAAGAGGAGAGUGGAAUCCCACGUGUAGCGGUGAAGUGCGUAGAGAUGUGGAGGAACACCAGUGGCGAAGGCGACUCUCUGGUCUGUAACUGACGCUGAGGAGCGAAAGCGUGGGGAGCGAACAGGAUUAGAGACCCCCGUAGUCCCUGUCUCUUAUAC